UGGGGUAUAGUCAAGCGGUAAGACAGCAGACUCUGAAUCUGUGAUGCAUUGGUUCGAAUCCAAUUACCCCAG
rnacentral:tRNA from 1 species